rnacentral:rRNA from 1 species
UACGGAGGGGGCUAGCGUUGUUCGGAAUCACUGGGCGUAAAGCGCACGUAGGCGGAUCGCUAAGUCAGGGGUGAAAUCCUGGAGCUCAACUCCAGAACUGCCUUUGAUACUGGCGACCUUGAGUCCGGGAGAGGUGAGUGGAACUGCGAGUGUAGAGGUGAAAUUCGUAGAUAUUCGCAAGAACACCAGUGGCGAAGGCGGCUCACUGGCCCGAUACUGACGCUGAGGCACGAAAGCGUGGGGAGCAAACAGG